GCCAUCUGAAUCUAAUUAUAGCUCGUGAAGGCAUCCAUAAAGCUCAAAAGUCGAUAUCCUGAAGUUGCAUCAAUUAGUUGGUCGAUCUUUGGUAAAGAGAAACUAUCUUUCGGACAAACUUCGUUUAAAUUUAUGUAGUCGAUACAGAUUCUCUAUUUCUUAUUGAUUUUUUUCAUCAUUACUACAUUGACGAGCCAAUCGAGAUAUAUAAUUACCUUUUCUGAUGAAGCCAGCCGCGAGGAGUU
rnacentral:lncRNA from 1 species